GAAUUGACGGGGGCCCGCACAAGCAGUGGAGUAUGUGGUUUAAUUCGAAGCAACGCGAAGAACCUUACCAGGUCUUGACAUCCACCGAAUCCGGAAGAGAUUCCGAAGUGCCCUUCGGGGAACGGUGAGACAAAUGGUGCAUGGUUGUCGUCAGCUCGUGUCGUGAGAUGUUGGGUUAAGUCCCGCAACGAGCGCAACCCUCGUUAAUAGUUGCUACGCAAGAGCACUCUAUUAAGACUGCCGUUGAUAAAACGGAGGAAGGUGGGGAUGACGUCAAAUCAUCAUGCCCCUUAUGACCUGGGCUACACACGUACUACAAUGGCCGUUAACAGAGGGAAGCAAUACCGCGAGGUGGAGCCAAACCCUAAAAGCGGUCUCAGUUCAGAUUGCAGGCUGCAACCCGCCUGCAUGAAGACGGAAUUGCUAGUAAUCGCGGAUCAGCAUGUCGCGGUGAAUACGUUCCCGGGCCUUGUACACACCG
rnacentral:rRNA from 1 species